CCUCCAUAUAAACCCCACCCAGCCAGCCCCUAGCGCAGACGGCGACGAGCUGGAUGGAGCGCGCCUUGCCUUGCUGGCCUGGGCCGCAGCUCCUCCGAAGAACCGGGACUCCCACGCGAGAAUCUCCCCGCCAGGUUCUCUCUUCAGGGAUGACAUCACCAUUCACCUCCUUGUCUUCAAGGACCACCUGUCGAUGCCCAGCUGCUGCCAAGGUGCUUGCUGCUCAUCUCCACCUUAUGAAGACCUCAGGAGCGCCCAUUUUUGGAUCCCACCAGCAUACCAAGCAGCCACUGGCAGAGACCCCCCAGGACCAGGACCACGGAGGCUGAAGAGGACCAGAACUGACCAACCAGCUGUUCCUCUUGGCUAAAGACUUAAUCCAAUGCCCUAGUGAGGGGGCAUUGGACAUUCACUCCUGACCUUUGCUAUGCUUGUGCUUAUUGCUAUGAAUACUGUCCUGUAAGUCUCUGCUUGUGUUAAUAUGCCAGCGACCUGGAGUGUUUCCCUCCCCAAGAAUGUGUCAGUUUUUCUCAGCUGACCCUAUUGUUGCCCGGGUGAUGUCCUGAAUAGAAGGACCCCUUUGGGAACUUCUCAGGAGGGGGACCUGGGCCCAGGGCUCCGCCAGCAUCUCACUGGCAAUUCCAAAGCCGUGGUGGGCUUCUGGAAUGAGCAUGAGCCCUGAUGUCAUGGGCAUCCUUGUCCUUUCCGGGGAAUGGUGAUGAGAAGAGCAACCUCCUAGGGUUGUUGUGAGUAUUAAAUGAGCCAAAUUAGCCUGGGGCAGGGCUGGGCAUGAGGAGGUGUUCAGCAAACAUUUGUUGAAAGUUUGAUAGGUCAGUCCAUCCCCAUCAGUGUCACUUGUCUGAUGCCUCUUGUUUAUUUUCCCCACAGCUCUCCGCCAGCCCCUGUCCACGGGGCUCUCCUGCACAGCCACGCUUCUCCAAAGGCCUGUCUCCACUUGCUGUCUUCCUUCCUCACCUCCAAUUUCCUCUUCAAUCCACUGCCUCCUGCCUUCUCUACUCCGUCGAGCGGCUUUCACUAAGGUAAUGACUUUUCUGUAGCUUAAGCCUAGGCAGUUUCCAGCUCAUGGACACGUGGACACAUUUCCAGUCUUCCUCUCACGUGGCUCUUGGGCCCUGGUUCACACCUAUUGACAUGCACUCCCUCUAGAAUCCACAGGGACACCGGCCCCACCCAGCAUCCCUUCUCGUAGGACCUCAGGUAGCCAGAGCUCCCAAUUUCUGGACCUUGCCUUUCACCAUCCCUCCUUGGAGUUGAGUCCUGGCUGACCCACCUAGUGCUGAGGCCCUAAGUUCGGUCAGUUUCUCCAAGCCACUUUUUUCUCAGUUGCAAAAUAGGAUUAAUAAUGUUCACCUGGCAGGUCUGGCGAACUCUCUUGCAGGUAAGAACCAGACACUAUUUGAGGGACUUGAAAUAAGGUCAUUAAAGUAUUCGUGAGAAAAUUCAAUUAGAGCCACCAGCAGAUUUUCUUACAGGUAAAGUUCCCACGGGGAGGACCAUAGAGAGAAGAAAGAAGUGGGGGGAGGAGGGGAGGAAGAGGUGGGAGAGAAAGAAAAGAAUGAGAAAAGGCACCAAAGACAAUAAAGUAGGGAAGGGGACUUAGAAAAUAUUAACAUCGACGGAAAACACAUCUAGGGAAAGGUUUCCUCUAGUGUCGGGUUGGGCUAAAAUAAACAGGAAAAAGGUUUUAAAUUAAUGAUCCAAGUGACAAGUCCCAGGAAGCUUUCAAAUCAAAUUGCCCCGUUUUGGGGUUUUAACUCCUCUCAAGUUUAACCUCUUUACCGCCUUCAUCCUGGUUAAACUCUCCCUGGCCCCUCGGCUGGUGAUUAAGUCCUGAAGGUACACAUAGUCUUUCAAUGAAUGAAUGGCCAACAGAAAGCCCUUCCCCUCCCCCCAGCUGUGUUUUUCAGUUUCCUUGCACUUUCCGCCCUUUUCCCUUAAUGAACACAGGGCUAGUCUUGGACCUUGUCAAGGAAGAGGCUGCAGCCGCUAAUGAGGGAGCUGCUGGGCUCCAGUGUUCCUCUCGUAAGGAGCCUUCUUUGUCUGUGAAGGAAAAACACACUGAUUAUCAUAAUGAGGUGAACCGCCGUCUGCAGGGCAGAGGCGAUGGUCCCAAGGCCACACUUGUAAUUUCGGGGCCGGGGCCCAUGGCUCCUUUGCUCCUCAUUUCAGCCUUGGCGAGGCCCAUUGCGUGGGGCUGAACGUGGGAGGCGGCUUUGCGGAGAGAGUUGCUUUGCAGAAGGUUCCUUUGUUGGGCCCGGCGGGCAGCUGCACUGGGCCAGGGGCUGCCUGCCUGUGGGGAGUCACUCACAGAUGAGGCCAUGGGGUCCAGGGCUCCCACUCCAGCAUGCACCUCACUUGUUUCAGCAUCCACCGGACAUGAAAAGCAUGCCAUGUCACAGGUGUAGGGCCCAGGGGAUUAUCACAAAGGCACCCCCCUGGAAGGGCAUGGUUUGGGGUUCACACUUUGGUCCCGCAUUCUGAGGAGAGUGAGGUUCAGAGCACCAGAGGAUUGCCCAGGGGACUUUACAAUAGAUCUUGCAUCAGAACAUGUCCUAUCCCCUCUCAUACGGCCUGCGUCCCACCUGAACCCCCUUCUAUCCUGAUACUUGAAACUCCCCCUGCCCGUUAAUGUCAGCAGGUCUGGCCAAAGCCUGAAACUUGCCCUGUGUGUCUCCAGUUCUGGACAUUUCCCACCCCGAGGCAGAUCAAUCAGUUAAAUUAGGUUAUUUUAAUUACACUUCAGGCUCUGGCCAGACCUGCAGCCAAAUGGAAAAAAACUAAGAGGGAAGCGAGGUGCUUGGAGUGAGAAAACUUGAUUAGUAGGAAAUUUACGCCUCUCCCUUCACUUACCUGUCAGCUGAAGGCCUGAAUCAGAGUUCUGCCCUCUUCCCAAGUUAGCAAAACCAGCUCUCACCCGGCUCCCCAAUAAAAAGGUUGAAGGCCCUACCUUAGAGGUGACCCAGAUGUUGCUCAGAUGAGGGGACUGGAGAGGAAAGGAAUAGAACAAUUUCUGGGGUUUCUAAAUGAGAGGAUGCAUUUUAAUAGGGAAAAAAAAAUCCAGAGGACCCUUCUCACCUCAAAUUCAUACUGAUAAUUAAAAUACAAGCCCAAGGUCACCGCUAUUUCAGCAUUUGAGCACCUGAGGAGGGGUGGAAGGCAUUAGUUGGCCAGGAUCUUGGGGGUUUGUGUUAUUCCUGGAGCCCCAGCUGCCUGGCCCUAGGGCAGUGAUGGCGAACCUUUUGAGCUCGGCCUGUCAGCAUUUUGAAAAACCCUAACUUAACUCUGGUGCCGUGUCACAUAGAGAAAUUUUUUGAAAUUUGCAACCAUAGUAAAACAAAGACUUAUAUUUUAGGUAUCUAUUUUACAUAUUUAAAUGCCAUUUAACAAAGAAAAAUCAACCCAAAAAAUGAGUUCGCGUGUCACCUCUGACAGGCGUGGCAUAGGUUCGCCAUCACUGCCCUAGGGGAACUGGCUCCCACAUCCCCUCCUGCGGGUUUCCGGGCCCGCUGGUCUCUAGCUGUUCUGUGUUCGCCAGCAGAGGGGUCUGAGCUCACAGCUCCCUUAGGGGUGGCACCUGCUUGUUCACGUGGGACCCUGCAUCCCACUCUUCCAGCUCAGAGGUCUGGGGUGACUUCCUGGGUUGACCCCUGACCUCCAGAGCCCACGCUUCUCCACAUCCAUCCUUAAGUCAACCGUGGAGUGUCCGAUGAUGGAGGAGGAGGCUGUAGCCAGGUGGGUGGGAUCCUAGAGGAUAAGUAGGACCCAGAGAUGCUCUCCCUUCUCCAGCUAUUCUGAGCUCCGGUUUCCUGUUUUUGCUUGUUCCCACCUCUGUUCUUCAUGCCACCUUCUCUCCUCCCUCACCCCUCCAUCGCCACUUCCUAACCCAGUGUUUUGGGGGUGCCCUAGGCCAGCCCACACCUCCUCUGGGUGUCCCAGCACCAGCUUGGCACACGUGGGGCUCAGUAAAAGUAUGUGGGAUGUUUGUUUGUUUGGGCAGGUGAGUCAACGAAGGACCUCGGCUGCUAGAGGAGUUGUUGGGAUGCUAGGAUUUACAUGUAGGUCAAAAGGAUGGAGAGGGGAUUUCAAUUUAGGGAGGGGUGGGCACCCCCACUUGAGCAGGGGCCUUGCCGGUCUCGCCCCUUCAUUCACUCACGCGGCCAACCUUCAUCCAACAGUUGAUCAUUACUGAGCUAGCCCAUAGCCCGGCCCGGCCUGAGCACCCGCCACACUAGCCGGUCCCUUGAUGGCCUCUGCCCUCGGGAGAGCGGGCCGGGGGGUGUCGUUGCCGAGGGCGGCCUGGCCUCCCAGCACUGGCGCAGCGACUGCUCUGUAGAAGGCAGGACAGCGGGACUGUGCGAGGGGCUGGCCUGGUUUGCCUUUGGGCCAGUUGGCCGGUGACCUUUACGUAGCCAGCCUCUCCUGCCCUCUCUGCCUCCCCGACUCAGCCCAGAGCUGAAUGCACCCCGGAAUGUGGUAUGUGUACCCUCGGGCUCUGGCCACAUGGUCUCCCUCUUGAGUUGGGGUCCUUGAGCUGGACCCCUCCCUCCAUGAUAGCUGCCUCCCGCCUGGGGCUAAAUCUAGCUCCUUUCUUUGGCUAGAGACUGUCCGAUGCAAAGGAUAGGUGGCUGGGAACCUCCAGGGAGCUCUGUAGGCUCUGCCUCCGCUUGGCUGCCUACCUGUCUGCUCUACCUGGCGGCUCCUCCCCUGGUCUGUUGCCCACUAGGAGCUCUGCUUUCCCCUUCUCUGUGCCUGACUCACCUGGCUUAUGAGCCUGUGGGCCUCAGCUGCCAGCCCGCUGUCUUACCUGCUCCCGCUGCUACGUCACCCACCUUUCACCUGCUUCCUUUGGCCCUGCUGCUAGGUCCAGACACCCCACAGCCCAAGGAGCCAUUUCUCCAUCCUGCUGCCCAGGUUGCCAACAGGCCCCCAGUGCCUAUGGGACAAGCCCCCGCUGGCAUGCUACCUCCCGCAAACAUCCUCAAAUACCUACUCUAAUUUGCCUGGCUUCCCAGGGUCUGCGCGACCUUCGGUCCUGCCUCCUUCCCUCACAGAUCCCUUGUCCCCAAGCAGGUCAUCCCAUGGCCUGCCCCGCCCCUGUGAGUCCCCGGCCCUGCUCACCCCACAUCACCCCAGGAGUCUCCACUUGGUUUGGGAACUGCCACCCAGGCCUUCAGCUUUUCCCAUCACUGCUCAUUCCCACGAGCCACCUCCCUCCACCGAAAACCAGACUUCUGGUUGACCCGGGGCCGGGUCAGCUGAAGAACUGACGGAAGAGGCAGAAGAGCCCCCGGAGGACACCGCCCUGGACCAAGCCCUCCUUCCCAACCCCACUCCCAGCCUCUCGCCUCCGUCCUGGUUUGGGACGAAGCCAUCGUCCGGAAUUCGUCGUGGGACGGGACCUCAGACACAAGCCCCCGCACCUUCCACCUGCGAAAUCCCUCCACAGCCACGGGGACGCCCUGCUCACAUUCCCUCGGGACAGGCUGGACCCAAAGACUCUGGACCCGGCUGCCCCCUGCGAGGAGGGUGUGCCCUCCUCCUCAGCCUCCCCUGCGGUAGCCGCCCACCCUUUGCGGAUGGACUUCAUUGAGCUGAGGGUCAGACACGUGGGCUUGACGCCUGCCCACACCUUACGAACCCUGAGACUUAGGGGACUGGCUGUGCCUUCGCCAUCCGCAUCUGUGGAAGGGGCUCUGCACCUACCUCACAGGGUUGUUGUGAGGAGUCUGUGAUGCGGGCUGAAAGUGCCCAACCUGGGGCCUGGCACAUCCUAUUGUGCUCUCAAUAAAUAUCUUUUCUUUGCCUUAACAAA